GACGAACGCUGGCGGCGUGCCUAAUACAUGCAAGUAGGACGCACAGCCUAUACCGUAGCUUGCUACACCAUAGGCUGUGAGUUGCGAACGGGUGAGUAACGCGUAGGUAACCUGCCUAUUAGAGGGGGAUAACUAUUGGAAACGAUAGCUAAUACCGCAUAACAGUAUGUAACACAUGUUAGAUGCUUGAAAGAUGCAAUUGCAUCGCUAGUAGAUGGACCUGCGUUGUAUUAGCUAGUAGGUAGGGUAAUGGCCUACCUAGGCAACGAUACAUAGCCGACCUGAGAGGGUGAUCGGCCACACUGGGACUGAGACACGGCCCAGACUCCUACGGGAGGCAGCAGUAGGGAAUCUUCGGCAAUGGGGGGAACCCUGACCGAGCAACGCCGCGUGAGUGAAGAAGGUUUUCGGAUCGUAAAGCUCUGUUGUUAAGGAAGAACGAGUGUGAGAAUGGAAAGUUCAUACUGUGACGGUACUUAGCCAGAAAGGGACGGCUAACUACGUGCCAGCAGCCGCGGUAAUACGUAGGUCCCGAGCGUUGUCCGGAUUUAUUGGGCGUAAAGCGAGCGCAGGCGGUUAGAAAAGUCUGAAGUGAAAGGCAGUGGCUCAACCAUUGUAGGCUUUGGAAACUGUUUAACUUGAGUGCAGAAGGGGAGAGUGGAAUUCCAUGUGUAGCGGUGAAAUGCGUAGAUAUAUGGAGGAACACCAGUGGCGAAGGCGACUCUCUGGUCUGUAACUGACGCUGAGGCUCGAAAGCGUGAGGAGCGAACAGG
rnacentral:rRNA from 1 species